GACGAACGCUGGCGGCGUGCUUAACACAUGCAAGUCGAACGGAAAGGCCCUGCUUUUGUGGGGUGCUCGAGUGGCGAACGGGUGAGUAACACGUGAGUAACCUGCCCUUAACUUUGGGAUAACUUCAGGAAACUGGGGCUAAUACCGGAUAGGAGCUCCUGCUGCAUGUUGGGGGUUGGAAAGUUUCGGCGGUUGGGGAUGGACUCGCGGCUUAUCAGCUUGUUGGUGGGGUAGUGGCUUACCAAGGCUUUGACGGGUAGCCGGCCUGAGAGGGUGACCGGCCACAUUGGGACUGAGGUACGGCCCAGACUCCUACGGGAGGCAGCAGUGGGGAAUAUUGCACAAUGGGCGGAAGCCUGAUGCAGCAACGCCGCGUGCGGGAUGACGGCCUUCGGGUUGUAAACCGCUUUCGCCUGUGACGAAGCGUGAGUGACGGUAAUGGGUAAAGAAGCACCGGCUAACUACGUG
rnacentral:rRNA from 1 species